UACGAGGGGGGCAAGCGUUGUUCGGAAUUAUUGGGCGUAAAGGGCGCGUAGGCGGUGCGGUAAGUCACCUGUGAAAACUCUGGGCUCAACUCAGAGCCUGCAGGCGAAACUGCCGUGCUUGAGUGUGGGAGAGGUGCGUGGAAUUCCCGGUGUAGCGGUGAAAUGCGUAGAGAUCCGGAGGAACACCAGUGGCGAAGGCGACACGCUGGGCCGUACCUGACACUGAUGCGCGACAGCAUGGGGAGCAAACAGG
rnacentral:rRNA from 1 species